UACGUAGGGGGCAAGCGUUGUCCGGAAUCAUUGGGCGUAAAGCGCGUGUAGGCGGUUCAGUAAGUCUGCUGUGAAAGUCCAGGGCUCAACCCUGGGAUGCCGGUGGAUACUGCUGGACUAGAGUGCGGAAGAGGCGAGUGGAAUUCCCGGUGUAGCGGUGAAAUGCGCAGAUAUCAGGAAGAACACCCGUGGCUAAGGCGGCUCUCUAGUACGGUACUGACACUGAGACGCGAAAGCGUGGGGAGCGAACAGG
rnacentral:rRNA from 1 species